rnacentral:rRNA from 1 species
AACUUUCAACAACGGAUCUCUUGGCUCUCGCAUCGAUGAAGAACGCAGCGAAAUGCGWUAAGUAAUGUGAAUUGCAGAAUUCAGUGAAUCAUCGAAUCUUUGAACGCACCUUGCGUCCCUUGGUAUUCCGAGGGGCAUGCCUGUUUGAGUGUCA